GCCUGGGUGGCUCAGUCGGUUAAGCGUCUGACUUCGGCUCAGGUCAUGAUCUUGCGGUCCUUGAGUUCGAGACCCGCCUCGGGCU
rnacentral:tRNA from 1 species